GCUCAGUCCCACGACUGUGAGAUCAUGACCUGAGCCAAAACCAAGAGCUAGACUUUCAACCGACUGAGCCCUUCAAAUGAACCAUUUUAAAGCACACGACUCAGUGGCAUUUAGUGCCUUCGCAAUAUUGUGCAAGCAUCCCUACUCGUGGUUCCACUGCGGCUGCCUGAGCCCCAUGAGCGGGUCUCCCCCACUCCUCUCUUCUCCCGGAACUGCCAGUCUUUCUCCAUGGACCCACCCAUUGGACUUCUGUGACUGGGUUCUUCCACUGAGCGUCAUGUUGACAAGGUUUAGCCACGAGGGAGCAGGUAUCAGAACUUCCUUCCUUUACGUCCAAAUACGAUUCUGUUGCGCUCUCCAUGUUCCCUGACUGAUAGAUAAUAUGGGUUGUUUCUACCUUUUGGCUAUUAAAUGUGCUUCUUUUUGAAUGUGUUCACUCGCAUGGUGUGCUGACGGGUCUAAGAAACACCUACGUCUAGAAAUAACGACCAGGGAGAGUGAUAUUUUGCUGUGCGUGCGCCACCUGGCAGGUGCCAUGGAAAUACCCACGAUUCCACUGGGUGGGGGCCUCCACCCGUGAUUGGGACAUUGAAACAUUGAACAAGCAGAGGGGUGUGCGGGAAGGAAUGUGCUGUUUCCUGAUCAAGUUCCCAGACCUUCUCAUUUCUCCCCAGGUUCGGAGCCCCCGGUCUCGCCUGACUCACCCAUUCUUGUGAGAAAGGAUCGGAGCCCCGCGCAGCUGGGACCAGGACCAGGGCCAGGGCCGUGGGGUUUCUGGCUUCUCUGGCUCAGCAAGACCCAAGUGUUUCGGCCGGGGGGCCACUGAGCGUCUGGCAGUGUGUCCUGCUCUGGGCCAUGGGCGUGAAGGUCAGCGCACGGUGGGGACGUGCCUCCGGUGCCCCGCGCACCCACCCUCCCAGCCUCCCAGCCACCAGGCCUCCCGCCCCCUCCUGCCCCCCACCAGCCCUGCCCUCCAGGCUGCCUCUCACUCCUCCUGCUCCUCUGGGGAGACAGAAGGUGUGAGGGCGGCUGUGGGUGACCCCGUGCACGCUGUCCUUUCUUGCUUUGCCCUGAUGCUUUUUUAAAAAGUUGCAGCUGCGGGGUGAGGAAGAGGGAGCCUGUACUCUUCCACCGUGAAAAGGAACGAAGCCCUGACGACAUCCUACGGCAGGGACGGACCUGGAAACGUGCUCCGAGAGAGAGAGAGAGAGACCAGACACAACAGGACACGUGGGGUGUGACUGCAGUUCCGUGAGAUGUCCAGAACAGGCGGAUGCGUGGGGACAGAGAGCAGAGCCCUGUUGCCAGGGAUUGGGGAGGCAGGGAGGGAACGGCCCCUAGAGGGGUCGGGCCUCCUUCUGGGGGUGAUGAGAAGGUUCCGGAGUGACACAGAGGUGCUGUCUGCACAGCACCGUGAGUGCGCUAAGUGCCGCCAAAGGGUACACUUCAAAAUAGUUAAUUUUACGUGGGUUUGACCUAAAUUAACAACCCCACCCCCGUAGUCCCCGUAGCAUUUCCCCUGGGCUGCUGGGAGAAGUGAGUCGGACGACCGCUGUUCAAAACCCACCGACCCGCGGUUGGCCGCCCCGAGGUGACCUCCCUGCUCCGUGCGGGAUCCGGGGUCCUGCGGGUGCUGGGAACGCUUCCCUCUCCUUCCGGUUUUCAUCCGAGGCCAAGAGCUGGCCGAGCGGGUGUAUCACCGUGCACGUGUGAGUCAGGAAGCAGAGAAGGGUGAGACUCCGGCCUCCCUUCUAAGACCUCCCCUGUCUGUAAUGAGUUCCGGGACUCCUUCCUUUUGGCAGUAGCUUCUCAGCUGAGGAAAAACUCACGAGCGAAGUAAGUCCGUCCCCUGCGAUGCCUGGGUCGGGGCCACUGAAACGUAAGGGUCUCGUCUGUCAUUUUUACAGGAGGACAAAAUGUUCUCACCCCUUUCCCCCCCUCCUCGGAAUUGUGAGCUCAUGUGGUCCUGGGGGAGUCUGUCCAGAAGAAGCCACCUGUGUCCUGAGAGAGACCAGGGGCCCCACCGAGAUGUGCCCCUCGGUGUCCUCCCGACAGAGCCCCAGCCUUCUUCAAACACUCCGGGAAGCAGCCAUUCUGAUCGCUCACCAGACGCGGGUCUCACAGCAACCCCAUGUUCUUUCCUCAAGGGGCAAGGCUGGUUUUUCUGGUGACCCCAAAGCCGUCCACGCCGGCAGAAUGCUGUGGGCGUUCGGGGUCCAGGUCUGUUCUCUAUGGGCUUUUGGAAUCUAGCCAGAGUGGGUAUGUGUGGCCCGAGCGCUGAGAGUGCUGAGUAUGUGGGGUGCGGACAGGGGUGCUUGCAGGUUUACAGACCCCCUAUGGCCUGCCCCUCACCCCCACCCCCGAGCUCCUAGAACAGACUGCCGGGAACCAGGUCAGAGGUUUCCAGGGCUCUGUGCAUGUGCUCCCUGUGCCCUCCCACCCUCCUCCCAUCCUCCUCCUCACCAACAGGUACUGGAUCAUUUUCAAACGGGGACCUGGGAUUCUCUUAUCCUUCUAUCCAUUUGAUGCCUUAAUUCACCGCGUGCUUACGGAGUUCCUGUUCUGUGCCAGGCACUGGGGGGACAGCCGGGGCGAGGCAGACCCCCUCCUGCUGUUGUACCAGGACUCGCUGAUGAAACUGAGAGAUGUCUUCACCUUUCUCCUAAACGUGACGUGGGGUGAUGAGAACCCAUGGUUCCCGGGAGCACCUGUCCCUAUGAGCAACAGGCAUAGCGCAUCUGCAGGCAACGUUGUACCCGUCUGUCCCGAUCGCCACUGGAAAUCACACGCCAGAAGCUGAGCCUGGGCCGGUUCAUCCGUGUCGUGCCGGCGUCAGUGCUCCCUUCCUUGUUACGGUCAAAUAAUACUCCACUUCAGCUGCCCCUUCACUUCUGACGACCGUCACGUUGGCACAUGCUGCACCAGCAGCUGCGUAAAAUGGGGGGCUGGCGCACGUUUUCUAGAAGAGGCCAGAUGGUAAGUAAUUUCAGCUCCAUGGGCCAGGCGGCCUCUGCUGCACCUGGUCAGCUCUGCCGCUGUGGCUCGGAAGUGGCUGCUUGAAUCUGGGUGUCCAUAGUGUGUACCGUCA